AAAAAAUUAACAUAUAACCACUUCAAAAAAGAGGCAAAGAAAGUCUCAACUUACCUUAAGAGGAGACGCAAAAAUCAAAUUGAAGUUUUUCCCUUUUGAAUUACCUCCGAAUGAGACUAAUCCAUCCAAAUACAGAUUCUACAUAAGAAUACAAAAUCAUAGACACUCAUAUUGCUAUACUUAAAUUUUGGGUUCAAAAAGUCAACCCUGAC
rnacentral:lncRNA from 1 species